GACGAACGCUGGCGGCGUGCUUAACACAUGCAAGUCGAACGCUGAAGCUCAGCUUUUGUUGGGUGGAUGAGUGGCGAACGGGUGAGUAACACGUGAGUAACCUGCCCCCUGCUUUGUGAUAACGCCCGGAAACGGGUGCUAAUACUGGAUAUUCACUGGUCUUCGCAUGGGGGUUGGUGGAAAGGGUUUUUCUGGUGGGGGAUGGGCUCGCGGCCUAUCAGCUUGUUGGUGGGGUGAUGGCCUACCAAGGCUUUGACUGGUAGCCGGCCUGAGAGGGUGAACGGUAACAUUGGGACUGAGAUCAGGCCCAGACUAGUACGGGAGGCAGCAGUGGGGAAUAUUGGACAAUGGGCGCAAGAGUGAUGCAGCGAGGCCGCGUGAGGGAUGGAGGCCUUAGGGUUGUGAACCUCUGUCGCUAAUGGUCAAGCCGCAACAAUGGUUGUGGUGAGGGUAGUGGGUAAAGAAGCGCCGGCUAACUACGUG
rnacentral:rRNA from 1 species